GGAUCAUGAUGACUUAAAAAUGGAUCUCGGAAUCUGAGCAAAAUGAGUGACCAAACCACUUGUGUGCACUGAGGUCC
rnacentral:snoRNA from 1 species